UUUCUCCCUUUAAUCUCCUCCAGUGGUUUUGUAUUCUCAACAGACACAAUAACUUUUAAUUCAGAUGGAGGAGAGUAAAGGGAGAAAUCAAGCUCAACUUUAAAACUAGAUGUAUUUUAGUUUAGGAUUGAUUUUUAUU